UGCCAUAAGGGCUAGUUUUACCCUUAUGGCAUGAAUGUCGCAUGUCGCA
rnacentral:sRNA from 12 species